UACGUAGGGUGCGAGCGUUAAUCGGACUUACUGGGCGUAAAGCGUGCGCAGGCGGUUUUGCAAGACAGAUGUGAAAUCCCCGGGCUUAACCUGGGAACUGCAUUUGUGACUGCACGGCUGGAGUGCGGGAGAGGGGGAUGGAAUUCCGCGUGUAGCAGUGAAAUGCGUAGAUAUGCGGAGGAACACCGAUGGCGAAGGCAAUCCCCUGGGCCUGCACUGACGCUCAUGCACGAAAGCGUGGGGAGCAAACAGG
rnacentral:rRNA from 1 species